CUUAACACAUGCAAGUCGAGGGGCAGCAUGGUCUUAGCUUGCUAAGGCCGAUGGCGACCGGCGCACGGGUGAGUAACACGUAUCCAACCUGCCGUCUACUCUUGGACAGCCUUCUGAAAGGAAGAUUAAUACAAGAUGGCAUCAUGAGUCCGCAUGUUCACAUGAUUAAAGGUAUUCCGGUAGACGAUGGGGAUGCGUUCCAUUAGAUAGUAGGCGGGGUAACGGCCCACCUAGUCUUCGAUGGAUAGGGGUUCUGAGAGGAAGGUCCCCCACAUUGGAACUGAGACACGGUCCAAACUCCUACGGGAGGCAGCAGUGAGGAAUAUUGGUCAAUGGGCGAGAGCCUGAACCAGCCAAGUAGCGUGAAGGAUGACUGCCCUAUGGGUUGUAAACUUCUUUUAUAAAGGAAUAAAGUCGGGUAUGCAUACCCGUUUGCAUGUACUUUAUGAAUAAGGAUCGGCUAACUCCGUGCCAGCAGCCGCGGUAAUACGGAGGAUCCGAGCGUUAUCCGGAUUUAUUGGGUUUAAAGGGAGCGUAGAUGGAUGUUUAAGUCAGUUGUGAAAGUUUGCGGCUCAACCGUAAAAUUGCAGUUGAUACUGGAUAUCUUGAGUGCAGUUGAGGCAGGCGGAAUUCGUGGUGUAGCGGUGAAAUGCUUAGAUAUCACGAAGAACUCCGAUUGCGAAGGCAGCCUGCUAAGCUGCAACUGACAUUGAGGCUCGAAAGUGUGGGUAUCAAACAGGAUUAGAUACCCUGGUAGUCCACACGGUAAACGAUGAAUACUCGCUGUUUGCGAUAUACAGCAAGCGGCCAAGCGAAAGCGUUAAGUAUUCCACCUGGGGAGUACGCCGGCAACGGUGAAACUCAAAGGAAUUGACGGGGGCCCGCACAAGCGGAGGAACAUGUGGUUUAAUUCGAUGAUACGCGAGGAACCUUACCCGGGCUUAAAUUGCAGAUGAAUUACGGUGAAAGCCGUAAGCCGCAAGGCAUCUGUGAAGGUGCUGCAUGGUUGUCGUCAGCUCGUGCCGUGAGGUGUCGGCUUAAGUGCCAUAACGAGCGCAACCCUUGUUGUCAGUUACUAACAGGUUCCGCUGAGGACUCUGACAAGACUGCCAUCGUAAGAUGUGAGGAAGGUGGGGAUGACGUCAAAUCAGCACGGCCCUUACGUCCGGGGCUACACACGUGUUACAAUGGGGGGGUACAGAGGGCCGCUACCACGCGAGUGGAUGCCAAUCCCAAAAACCUCUCUCAGUUCGGACUGGAGUCUGCAACCCGACUCCACGAAGCUGGAUUCGCUAGUAAUCGCGCAUCAGCCACGGCGCGGUGAAUACGUUCCCGGGCCUUGUACACACCGCCCGUCAAGCCAUGGGAGCCGGGGGUACCUGAAGUGCGUAACCGCGAGGAGCGCCCUAGGGUAAAACUGGUGACUGGGGCUAA
rnacentral:rRNA from 1 species